GUCUCUUCUGGAGGGCCGGUCCCGAAUGAAGAGCAGUUGUCAAUGUUUUGUAAUGAAGCAUGGGUGGAGCUGGGUAUUGAUUGGCCACUGGGAGGAACGUUUAACUUCACUAAGGCUCGGCAGUUGGAAGCUACCCUCUUUAAGAUGCUGCCAGGCGAAACAACUUUGUGGUGGCAUGCAUAGGGUUAGAAAGAGCCAUCUGCCCAGACCCCCCCCCCCACAAGAAUGUGCGCUGAUAAAGGCGCGGGCUCAAUGUAAAAUUAAUGAGGGGAAGAAAUUGGAAAUUAAGCCCCCAGUCUUUCAGGCAAAGCCACUAGUUUAAACUCCGUCACCUCAAAUUCAGCCCCCAACGUUUUGGAACUUUGUCUGUGUAAAAUCUAAAUACAGACUGUGCCUUCUCAUGAAGUAUUUAAUCUGUCUCUUUAGUAGCUUUAGCAAACUUGUGAUUUGCCCUAUUUGUCAGGAGCAGCCUUAGUUUCCAGAACACACACACAUGCAUAACAUCACCAGACUUUCAUGCCCUCCUUGGCAGGAGAGAUAGAGGAAGGGAGGUUUUUGAGGAACAUCAGAGCUCCCACACAUAGCAUAACGCCUGAAAGGCUGCAGGGACACUGGGUCUCGGUGUAAAACCUUGAGACCAGAUUCCUUCCUGGUUUUGGAUCAGAGCCCGCAUGGCUUCAGCUGUAUUCAACUGCCUGCUCUGGGCAUAGGAGAGGUAACAGGAUCCUUUGAUUUUUUUAAGUUUAAAGUUAUGAAUGGUUAGGAGAGGAAUGAAUGAUAGCGGUUAAUCAAGAUGUUAAGGUGUAUGUCACUUGUCUGUGUUCCUAGGUUUAGUUUCAGACAUCUCCGGCAAACAGAGAGGUUGUAGCAACAUGGGGGCAGGGUGCUAGGUAGUAAGAAGAAAGGGAGUUGGGAUUGUUGUACUGUUGUGUGUUUUGUCUGUCUGUGGUAAAAACAGUAUUUUGGUUUUUCUUUUGGAGCUCCUUUUCAUUAUUCUGGUAUAGCGUUAAGAAAUUUAGAGUAAGUAUGUUGUGGUAUUUAUGAAUGCAACUUUAAUUGUCUCUCUUUCUUGUAUUUUUGUGUGUGUAAGAUUUGAUUAUAUUUAUCCAUGGUGGGUCAUGGUGAGAAGAACGUUUUCACCUAAUGUUUUAUUUCCUUGGGGGCUUCCUUCUCUAUUGAAUUUCUUAGAGUUGGAAUCUCCAGUCUGUGUGUACAGUGAACUGAUUUUUUGUUCUAUAAUGGUUUAGAAUUAAGUAUGAUAAAAUAUAGUAUGUUGCGAAAAAGAAGUGUAUGAAUCGAGUACUCAUGUGUGAAUGUGUGAAGGUUUCUUGAAAUGUCUAUUGUUGUUUAAAGAACCUCUGUUCCUUUAGUGGUCUUUGAAGUAAAGUGUGAAAGAACUUGCUGUGUUUGUUUAAGCAAGUGAUUAAGAGAGCUGAGGGAAGUAUCUUUCAGUGCUUGAUAAACGGGAGGUUUGAGUUAUAGUGAAAAGAGAAUAAUUUCUGCUCUAUAAUGUCUAAGUUUCCUUUACUUUGUUUAAUUUAUUGGGUUGCAGUUUGCCUUUUGUGUAAAUGCGUGUUUAAAAAUUACAGCUCCUCCUUCUUUCCCCCCCACUUGCCUCUAAACAGCUAGAGGAAUGGCGUACUUUCAGCCCGGUAUAUUUAUCUUUCAAUGCUUGAUAAAUGUUUCUGUGCACAUAGAUCAUGAUUAAAUUACAGGAAUCAGUUCCUGUCUGACCCAAGAUGUUUUUGCUGGUACCUGCAAGGGGAAAUUAUGUAUUUUUGUAUAAGGUUAAAAGUCUAUUGCUAACUCUUUUAUUACUUCCUAAGGGAAUUUCCUCCUUUUGGCACUUUGACAAGGAGGCAUAGUUCUGAAGUAUUUUUAUGUAAAAGCUUUUUGAAACUCUUGUUGCCACCCAGUUAUAGAGUUAAAGAUAUUGAGAGGUUUAAGGAAUGUUAACACUUCAGAUUAAAAGUUAAAACAGCUCUUAUGCUUUUAUAAUAGGUGUUUUAAUUGAUGAUUAUGCUUUAUUUUUUUUAUACUAAGAUUGAUUGACUGUGUUUUUUUAAUUAUGUCGAUUGAUUUCAGUCAGGCCCAAUCCCAAGGAGAAAGAGGAAGGGCCUCAUUAAUUAUUGUGUUGUCUGUUAUGUAAUUAUUCUCCAGUUUGUGUAUAUAGUGGACUAAUUUUUUUAUUCUACAGCAGUUUAAAAUUGUUUUGUGUUGAUGUUUGUUGUCUAAUGCAUGGGCAUAGGUUUGCCAAAGGUGAUUUAAGUAAGUUAGUUUGAAGGCAAGAAUAUAUGCAAGGUGGAUAGAGUUACGAAGAAAAGGUGCAAAGUAUGUUGCAAAGGAGUUGAGGGAAAAGGUGAAGCAAAGGCUUGAAAGGUUUUAUUGACAGCAAACGAAUGAAUCUGACAAUUUAACCCCUCCUUUCUCUAGUCCUUUUUAACAAGGGUAUAUAAAUUGACAAAUGAUGACAAUGAUUUUUGGUAAGUUGGCAACAUGAGGCCAUUGACUAUAUGCUAGAAGUCAGCAAAACUGAGUAAUACAAUGAAUAAGUCAGAGUUUGCUUAUCUAUAUCAGUGUAAAAGUACAGAGCAUGAUUAACCCCCACCUUUGGAAUUUGUGUUUACUGCCAACUUCUUGUGCUCAAAGUGUAUAUCUGCUGUAGUGAUUGGGGCUCUCAUCCAACAGGAAACAAACCUGUAAUUUUAGUGUAAUAGGGCCAGUUGUAAGAUUGGGGCAUACAGGAUGUGAAUAGUAGGUUUUGAAACACAUAGAAAGACAGUGAACAGGUUCAAGAGUCAGUGGUUAUUGGCUUAGUUUUCACACUGAAACUUGUUCUCUUGCAUGUGUAUGUUUAUAACCCCUCCUUCUUCCUCCAUUUGGUGGGCAAGUAGCCAAGAGUGCAAGGAAGCUCCAUGCAGCCUGAUAUAAUUUUGUUAUUUUUUUUAUGCAUUAGUAUAUGAUUAAAAAGUCUAAUUCUUUUUAUUUAAUUUGUUUUUUUUAAUUAUAGGAUGGAGCGGAAGCAUAUGCUAUGAUGGUUGUUUUGAUUUUAUAUAGGAAUAGCAGAGAAUCGCCUGGAUCUCUCUUUAAGUCAUUUUGAUAUAGUGUUAAGAAAUUGUAAGAAGUUUUUUUAUUGUCUGAUUUAAAGUAUAAGUAUUUUCUUUGAGUUUCAUUGAAGGUAUAAGUUUUGUAGUUAAGCAGUGGAAGGACAAACCACCUGAUAUGUUUUCUCCCUCCAGUCUUAGUUGUGUGCAUGCAUCCUGAAUUCAGGACUUUAUUGCCUAGGAGGUACAGUAAUAUGGUAUUCUUUAAUGAGCCCAGUUUAAAGGGUGUAAUAUGUUUUGUUUUAAUCAUGCUAAUUCUUUACAGCCGAGUUAUGAACAGCUGGAAGAAUUUUAUUUUGAAGAUACAAAAUGUUUUCUUUUUAUAACCAAUGCCGGCUUUUAUUUCUCUUUCCUUAUAUCUGUUACAGAUAGAAUUGUAUUUGUAAAGAGAAACUUAAUUUUUCUUUCUAGGGCCCCUUUUCUUUGUUUCUUUCAGUAUUUUUGUGUUUCUUUAGCAACCUCUGUAUAUGAUCAGAGGCUAGAGAAACUUGAAGGCCUUUAGAAUGUGUAGUUAUGUUGUGUGCCUGUCUGUUGCAACACGGUAUUUUGGUUUUUUGUGCACUUUUGAGAAGUCUCAUUUGUAGCCAUGAAGGUAUUAUUUUUAUAUUUUCCUUCCUGUGCUGAAUGAUUUGCUAAGGAAGCAUUAACCCCCAAAGAAACUUUUUGUGUGUGUGUGAGACACAGGAGAUUUAUUGCAGGUAUUUUGAUUGGAGCCUCAUAUGAAGUUGGUACCAACGUAUUGGGCCUUUAUAUAGCUAUGCAACAAAUGUGCUAUUUUUUAGCAUGUGUUAACAGCAUAGAGGCCUGCUUAAUGGAACUAUUACCAAUGGUCUGUGUAUAAGGUUGCAAAGGUGCAAAAAUAAGGGUGUAUGAGAGUUUCACCCCUCCUUUUCUUUUAAUAGAGAUUUGUUUUUAAAUGAUGAAGGUUAAGUUAUAUGAUAUGUACAGAUGUAUGUAGAAGAUUAAUGAUGUGGAAUAACAACAUUAUAAUUUAGUGUUUGGUUAUCUAUGUGAGGACAUGUAUGAAUUAUACACAUGUUUUCAUACCUCAUUCAAAUAAUGAGUGAUUCCAUAUUGGGUCUUAUAAUGUGAGAGAAUGUUAUAGAUGCCAUAUAGAAGAGUGUUUGAAUUAGGGUUUGUCUUUAAUUAUGAUCAAAUGGAUAUGUAAAUCUUUGAGGCUAAAGAAAAAGCUCCUGAGGAAAAGAUAUCAAGAUUAUUUAUAUUAUGCAUUACAUUAUAUUUCAUGAAUUUUAUGAAUAGCAUUGUAAGCAGUUAAAGCAAAGAAACACAGAUGCCCUCUCAACUAUGGAACCCUGAUGCUUUGUUUUCCUCAAAAGGAUUGUUUUUAAAGGACCUGAUGGAUUUGGAUUUUUCCAGGAGUAACUAAAGGCUGUUAUUGCCUCUGCCCAUGUCAGUGGGAGAAAAGGCGUUUCUAAUAAGUCACACGGGGGGAGGUGGUUCUGAGAAACACAGUCUUCAUACUUUUUCCUUCCAGAAAGAAAGCUACUGCAAUGAACUUUUUUUUUAUAUCAUUUGAAUUUUUGAUUAGCAUCAGCAACCCACAGACUGAUCGAUUAACUAUUUGAUCUCUUGAAGAUGAACUUUGUACAAACCUGCACUGUGUUUCAAGACUAUAUUUGUUUUACUUCAAUUAUAAUGUUGAAUGUAACUAUUUAUGCAUUGUGUUUUAUGUGAUGAUUUAACCAUUGGCUGUUUUCUUUAUAUAGCUUAAGUGUUAAGAAUGUUUUGCUUUUGGGAUGUUUUUGGCCUUUUAGAUCCAUUGGAUGGAGUCUACAGAAUUUGGCUAUGGAUGUCAACACCAUAAGAAUCUAGGAAGAUGAUAGUUUGGAAUCCCAUCAAAAUUGCUUUUCUCUUAAAAUGAUUGUUGUAUUUUAUUGCUCUUUUACGCUAAGUAUUAAAUCAAGUAUAUAGCUGCGUUUGCAAAAAUAAGGUCUCAGGCUUUAGUUGCAAUGUCCACCUGCAUUGAAGAAAAGUAUCAAAUAUUGUUGCAACAUUCAAGGUGGAAUAGUGUGAAAAACAAGUUCCAUAUAUGGAUAUGGAAGCGAGGGGACAUUACCAGAAGAAGAUGGGCAGGGAUUAAAGUGAUGUAAUUAUGAUGAUAUUGAUGCAUGAAUAAUUAGUAAAACAAAGUUGAUAAAAGACUUGGUUGUGCCUAGCUGAGUCAGAACUAGCUUGCUACUUCUCCAUGUGCACGUGUUAGAAAUAAAUAUUCUCCAUUCUC